rnacentral:lncRNA from 1 species
AGCCAGGAAACACAGAUUUGGGACUUAGACACAAAGAAGGUAUCUUUGAAUCCAUCUGUGUAGAUGAUGUGUUUAAUACAUAUUGUGUGGCUUCAUUACACCGUCGAGCCAUUGUGACUUCCGUUUGCUGUUUUCAUGCAAUAUGAUGCUUGUUUUUUAAUUGGCUUCUACCAAUUUUCCCCCAAAAGAUAAUUUCUUUGAUCAACACAUUGGCUGACUAUUGAUUCAUACAUUUCUAUUUAUUUAUAGAGAGAGGAGCAGAGGACCAAGAUUUGUAUACGCAGGAAAUUUUACCAAUUAUCCAGAAGACUCAUUUCUCAGCCCACUCGCAGAUGUUUCUGACUCAGACACACCCAUGGGGUCCUUGUCCCCCAACCACCCCUGUAGAAGAACUCCAUCUUUACUGGUUCAAGGACAAUGGGGAGGGCUCUGAUGAGCUCUGAUGUCAGACAGACUUGGCCUGGCCUGCUCUGCCACUUCCUGGCUCUGUGACCAGGAUCAGGACACUAAAACUCUAUGACUCAGUUUCCUCCUCUGUACGAUGGGUAGUAAUAAACCCUACCUCCUAGGAUUGCUGGGCAUAUCUUGUGAUAUAUUGCAUGGAUGGCGCUUAGCCAAGGGCCUGGACCAUAACGGGUAUUUAAUAAAUGUAAACUAAGCAAAAACAAACAAACAACAACAACAAACAAACAAACAAAAAAACGUUCAGAGUAGAUGACCUUCAAAAUUUUCCUGCUCAUAAGAACCUGUGAUUUCUGCUCUCACUUGUCUAUAAAAAAUAUUUUAUGGGCCUGGCACGGUGGCUCACACCUGUAAUUCCAGC